rnacentral:rRNA from 1 species
AGGAAGUGGGGAUGACGGUCAAGUCCUCAUGGCCCUUAUGGGUAGGGCUUCACGACGUCAUACAAUGGUCGGUACAGAGGGUUGCCAAGCCGCGAGGCGGAGGCCAAUCCCACAAAGCCGAUCGUAGUCCGGAUUGUUCUCUGCAACUCGAGAGCAUGAAGUCGGAAUCGCUAGUAAUCGCAGGUCAGCAUACUGCGGUGAAUACGUUCCCGGGUCUU